UACGUAGGGGGCUAGCGUUGUCCGGAAUCAUUGGGCGUAAAGAGCGUGUAGGCGGCCCGGUAAGUCCGCUGUGAAAGUCGGGGGCUCAACCCUCGAAUGCCGGUGGAUACUGUCGGGCUAGAGUGCGGAAGAGGCGAGUGGAAUUCCUGGUGUAGCGGUGAAAUGCGCAGAUAUCAGGAGGAACACCGAUUGCGAAGGCAGCUCGCUGGGACGCAACUGACGCUGAGACGCGAAAGCGUGGGGAGCAAACAGG
rnacentral:rRNA from 1 species